CAGAUGAAGUGAAAAGGUUUUUAGGAUCACAUUUCUGAAUUGGACUUAACUGAAAACCAUGAAAUAGCUUAAAAACCAUCUACACCAGAUAAAAGCAGAUCAUCUUGUUACAUUACAUUUUGGACUCUCCAGAAGACAAAAUGGGUGUGGGAUUGGUGAUAGCAGUUUUGCUGGUGCUGACAGCGCCAAGGGAAGAUUUUGUGACAUCAAUGGCACAGGCAACAACCACAGUGGCCCUAAAAACCACAAAUGAUGGAACAAAAGCAGCAGUCAGUCCAACAACAACUAUUUCUAUGACUGAUGAAGGUUGCUCACCAUCUGUGACUCUCAAAGCAACUUUAGAAGAACCAUUUGUUGAAGAAUUCACGAAUAGAACCAGUCCAAGAUUCAAGACUCUCGAGGCAAUAACGAUUCACACUUGCGAUGGCAUCUACAUGGCUCGAUUUGGCUUCCUCUUCAUCCGCACUCUGGUCAUAGGGUUUAGCCCAGCUACAGCCAACUGUAGAACAAGUAAUACUGCAGCAGAGGUGAGGCUUCUUUUCAAUAGCUCUGUGCCAUCUGCACUACUUCCAACUUCUGAUGACGUGGUACGAACCUUGGUGGACGCCAUCCUUGAUCCCAACAGUACCCUCAAUGUCAGCAUUUUCGUCAG
ensembl:lncRNA